rnacentral:rRNA from 1 species
UACGUAGGGCGCAAGCGUUGUCCGGAAUUAUUGGGCGUAAAGAGCUCGUAGGUGGUUUGUCGCGUCUGCCGUGAAAGCCCGGGGCUUAACUCCGGGUCUGCGGUGGAUACGGGCAGGCUAGAGGCAGGUAGGGGAGAACGGAAUUCCCGGUGUAGCGGUGAAAUGCGCAGAUAUCAGGAAGAACACCCGUGGCGAAGGCGGCUCUCUGGGACGGUACUGACGCUGAGACGCGAAAGCGUGGGGAGCGAACAGG